GAGCCUGGGCGAUGGCAGCCGACCUGUGGCUACCCCAGGAGGAGUGGGUCCCAUGCCCAGCCCUGUGAGGGGUGGGGUGCCCCACCAUGGCAGCCGGCUGCCCAAGGGCUGCCUUGGUGGCCUCGUAGCCAGGAACGCCCUCCUCCCCGGCCGCACUCACCGUUGCCAAUCUGGCCCUGCAGGAGGGAGGAAGGUGGCAGGCCCGUGCUGAUGGCGUCACUCAGGCUGCCCUGAGAGUGCAGGCCCUGGCUGGAGCCGCUCUGAGUCAGGGCUCCAGGGCCCAGGUUCAUGUUCUGCGUGGGCGGCUGCAGGCAACAGGAAGUUUUCAGGAAAAAAGGGUUAAUUUACGGAGAGCGACCUCCACAAGCCAGGCCAGGGACGAGAGGGCACCCGAGAUUUGCCACCACACAUCAUGGCCACCUGGUCAAUGUUUGUAAUCAGCAGCCAUCGUCACAGCCAGGUGACCGCAGAGCACCAGGCCCAGAUGGAGAUGGCAGAGUGAGCGUCUGGGUGAGCGUUCACAACUCUACUGAGUAUCAAGUUCAUCCACACGUGCCUGGGUGUGAAAAGCUGGACCUCCUCCUGGGACAGCAGGGAACCCCUUCCCCGGCCCACCAGGCUGAACGCACCCCGUCCCCCUCGGGCGCAGGUGACCAGCGCCUCCGUGCUCCCCGACCACGACCCCUCCGUGCCAAGAGCUUUGGCACAGGCGGGAUCCCUCUCCUGUUUCCUGUGCUCCUGCUGCAUGUGCCCCUUCCCCGACUCCCCCCACCCCACACCCGCCUCGGAUCACACCACACAGAAGGGAGUGAGUGUGAAGUGGCCCUCAGCACUCUCCCAGAUCAAGGUCAACCAGCAGCUCUGGAGGUCUGCACACACAUGCUGUCUACACCUGGCCAAGAAAAGGAAAUUUCCACCAGGACCCGUGGGUGUCUGCAGGGUGAAGAAGUGCAAUUUGACAGGUCAGUGGAGGUGGGUUUAACAUUUUUACUCGCAAAACACAUCCUGGCAUUUAUGUCAUCACUUGCUGAGGAAUAAGGGUCACUAGGAGAUACGUCAUUCCCGGCGACAUGUCUGUCCCGGAACCCCGUCAGCAGGACAGAGGCUGCAGCAGCACGACCUCGUCUUCACUGUGACAAUUUAAUCUUGGAAAAAUGCAUUUUAAAAAAUCAAACAAAAUAAAAUAUUUGAACUAACACUGGGAGAAUUUACUGUGCUGGGCAUGUUUUCUUUUAAGUUCCGUUUUCACCCACAGCAGCGCAUGUGCACGGUUCACAGCGGCUCAAAGCACCCGGAGAGGCUCCAGGGAGACGCAGGGCCCCCAUCCCACCUCUCCC
rnacentral:lncRNA from 1 species